AUUGAACGCUGGCGGCAGGCCUAACACAUGCAAGUCGAACGGUAACAGGAAGCAGCUUGCUGCUUCGCUGACGAGUGGCGGACGGGUGAGUAAUGUCUGGGAAACUGCCUGAUGGAGGGGGAUAACUACUGGAAACGGUAGCUAAUACCGCAUAACGUCGCAAGACCAAAGAGGGGGACCUUAGGGCCUCUUGCCAUCGGAUGUGCCCAGAUGGGAUUGGCUAGUAGGUGGGGUAACGGCUCACCUAGGCGACGAUCCCUAGCUGGUCUGAGAGGAUGACCAGCCACACUGGAACUGAGACACGGUCCAGACUCCUACGGGAGGCAGCAGUGGGGAAUAUUGCACAAUGGGCGCAAGCCUGAUGCAGCCAUGCCGCGUGUAUGAAGAAGGCCUUCGGGUUGUAAAGUACUUUCAGCGGGGAGGAAGGGAGUAAAGUUAAUACCUUUGCUCAUCGACGUUACCCGCAGAAGAAGCACCGGCUAACUCCGUG
rnacentral:rRNA from 1 species